CCCCCAUCAAGCGUGCCUGCAGUAAAUGAACCUAUACAGUAUAGUCCUAGGCUCAAAGGGUUUAAUCUAAGGGUUCAUUUAUAUGUGUAGGUAAUAAUAUGUUUUCACAUGCAUGAGUGAGUCUUUCAAAAGAUGAUCAAAAUUGUAUACGAGCGUAAUUUGAAGUCUUUGAACAACUCCUGAGUGUUUGCAUGGUUUUACAAAUUGCUCAAUAAACC